GACAGUACAGAACGUGAACCGGUUGUGGCUUCUCCGCCAUUGAAGCUCCCCACUGAGUCUCUGUUGCUUUGCCAAUGCUUUGACGCUACCUUUGUUUUCGAAUCUCUGCGAUGUUAUAGUAAAGCGUCACGAGGCUAGACU